rnacentral:lncRNA from 1 species
GAAUUAUUCGAUCCGAGCGAAUCGCUCACAGCGCCUUGUCCGAGUUCCUCGCCUCCUUGGCCCUGCCCUCCGCCUCCGUUGGCUUCUUCAGCUGCACAAUGUCCCAGGAGCCGCCCGCUCCGUUGGACUUGGAGCACAGAUCCAGACUGAUGAGGGCGCCCGUCGUGGGAGCAGCUGCCCGGAGGCAGGUGCCUUUGGCCAUGUUGUAGACGGGACUGUUGGCGUUGCGGGUGUGCCGCCACUGCUGAUCGCCGAGCAUCUCGUGGCACUUGUUGACCGUGACCUGCGCAUCCCCGGAUGCCUCCAGGCACAGCAACUUGUCCAGCACAAUUUCCGCCUUCUCCGUUUCGUACCACAGUUGAUUGGGUGUCCUUCGGCAGGUUUGCAAUUGCAGGGAGCUGCCCUUCUUCCAGAAACCCUUCACCUUGGGAGCCACCACGGCGGCACAGAGCUCCGUUCCCGUCAGUCGCAGCUGGAAUGUGUCGACAUAGUUACGUUUUCGCGAGUGCCAAGGCUGAAAGAUGGGCGCUGCCGCCGACUUCUUGGACUCCUCGCCCGGCACAUGCAGCUCUGGAUAGACAUUCUUUAGAUACCAGGCAAAGUCCCUGCACUGCAGACGCUCCCUAAGCUUGAGGCGAUCGCUAAUGUCUCCAUAAUCAUAGGUCUUGGGCACCUUUUCGUGCUUGAGAUAGUAAUCCUUGUACUGAUCCAUCCAGACGUGCGCCAAACGCAGUGAGUUCUUCAACAUGGUGUUGGCUCCAUCUGGCGAAGUGUACGGACGUCGUUUGCGGAAUAUGUGACCGACACGGGAGCAGGGAACGAUCUUAAUGGCGCCACCGCAUUGCCAGGCUCUGAAGGAGAUCUCUAUAUUCUCGCCACCCCAUAUAUCCAUGGCCAUGUCGUACUCGCCCAGAUGCUGGAAGUACUUCCUGUUCACGGCAAACAAUCCGCCGGCCAUGGUGGGCGAACGGAAGGGUCCGCGAAAAUCCUCCGGCACCUUGAGCGUGCCCUCGGGCAGAUUCUCCCAGCGGAAGUGCAGGCCCCAGUUGAAUCCUCCGCGCACCAGUGGACUGGGCGUGUACUCAAAGGUAUCAGCGUUGAUCAGGUCGAUGACGGGCACGGCCAGAGUGGCGUUCUCCGACUUGAUGAGGCGCAGCAGCGGCUCCAGCCACUGCUGAUUGACCUCGAUAUGCGAGUCGAGGAAGACGAGCACAUCGCCCACGGCCUCGCGUGCACCAAUGACCCGGGAACGAAUGAGACCCUCGCGCUGCUCGUUUUUGAUGUACCGCAGGUUGUCGUACUUCAGGCGGGCACGCAGAUCCCCGUGCAAAUGGAAUUCCAAUUCUGGAAGAUCGCUGUGAUCAUCCACCAGAAUAAUCUCGCGCAGCAGGUAGCUGGGCGUGCGUUCCAGCACGGUCUUAAUCGAGCGCAUCAGCGUCAUCUUGUGCUCGUUGUAGAAGCACAUGACUAUGGAGGCCUGGGGCAGAUUUUCCGCUUCCGUGGUCUCCUGGCGAUCGCACACCUUGUGCCGAGUGUCUGGGAUCGCCCGGAAGAGUCCUAUGUUAUUGGACACCAGCGCGUUGAAGGCGUGAUGCUUGUAGCCAAUGUCGCGUAUGUACUUGUCCUGCUUGUUGCGCACCACACCCAACAGUUCCAAUUGCUCCGGAUCACUGGGCGGCUUGGGUGCCGCCGGCGAUUCGCCAGUGGUAAUGCUGGCAUUUGGAGUGCAUCCGACGGUGACCCUGGCCUGGUAGCUCAGCUCGGCCCGUGGCGUUGCGUUCCCUUCGUCGAUCCUCCAUCCUGCCGAGCGGAUGGAGCUGCGCAGGCUGUGCGAGUAGAAAAGCAGCGCCAGCAGCCAGACGACCGCCACCAGAAGGGUGCCCAGGCCGCAGGAUUUGCACAGGAGGCGCUUGAUUUGCAUCAUGGAUCGAGAUUAGAUUACGUUGUGCGCUUCCCUGGCUACUUAAGCAGCUACUUUGUCACUUUCAUGAUGAUCGGAAUAAAUUAAAUUUAAUUUGC